rnacentral:misc_RNA from 1 species
UUCUUUUCUUUGACCAUUUACUUCACCCCCAACACUUUUUCUAGGGUUCCUUUCAUCUUCUCCUCUCUACUAUUCUCUCUUCCUUUUCCAUCAGCUCUGAAACCUCUCAGAUGGCCAAUUUCCCUUCCUCUUCCUCUUCAUUAUCUGACAACCCAAUCAUAUCAGCAGCCGCUGCUGAUGCUUCUUCUUCGGGAGCUGCUGUUGACGAUGCAUUCGACGAUGCUUGCAGUAUCUGCCUCGAGCCUUU